GCCGGGCGUGGUGGCGGGCGCCUGUAGUCCCAGCUACUCGGAGGCUGAGGCGGGAGAAUGGCGUGAACCCGGGAGGUGGAGCUUGCAGUGAGCCAAGAUCGCGCCACUGCACUCCAGCCUGGGUGACAGAGCGAGACUCCGUCUCAA
ensembl:misc_RNA Metazoa_SRP Metazoan signal recognition particle RNA